rnacentral:rRNA from 1 species
CGAUUAGAGUUUGAUCCUGGCUCAGGACGAACGCUGGCGGCGUGCCUAAUACAUGCAAGUCGAACGGUCUUUUCUAUGGAAGCUUGCUUCCACUGAGAAGAUAGUGGCGAACGGGUGAGUAACACGUGGGUAACCUGCCCAUAAGAGGGGGAUAACAUCCGGAAACGGGUGCUAAUACCGCAUAGUUUUCUUGAUCGCAUGAUUGAGAAAGGAAAGACGGCCUUUGUGCUGUCGCUUAUGGAUGGACCCGCGGCGUAUUAGUUAGUUGGUGAGGUAACGGCUCACCAAGACGAUGAUACGUAGCCGACCUGAGAGGGUGAUCGGCCACAUUGGGACUGAGACACGGCCCAAACUCCUACGGGAGGCAGCAGUAGGGAAUCUUCCGCAAUGGACGAAAGUCUGACGGAGCAACGCCGCGUGAGUGAAGAAGGUUUUCGGAUCGUAAAACUCUGUUGUCAGAGAAGAACAAGUUGGAGAGUAACUGCUCCAGCCUUGACGGUAUCUGACCAGAAAGCCACGGCUAACUACGUGCCAGCAG